rnacentral:rRNA from 1 species
ACGAACGCUGGCGGCAUGCCUAACACAUGCAAGUCGAACGAGACCUUCGGGUCUAGUGGCGCACGGGUGCGUCACGCGUGGGAACCUGCCCUUAGGUUCGGAAUAACUCCCCGAAAGGGGUGCUAAUACCGGAUAAUGUCUUCGGACCAAAGAUUUAUCGCCUUUGGAUGGGCCCGCGUUGGAUUAGCUAGUUGGUAGGGUAAAAGCCUACCAAGGCGACGAUCCAUAGCUGGUCUGAGAGGAUGAUCAGCCACACUGGGACUGAGACACGGCCCAGACUCCUACGGGAGGCAGCAGUGGGGAAUAUUGGACAAUGGGCGAAAGCCUGAUCCAGCAAUGCCGCGUGAGUGAUGAAGGCCUUAGGGUUGUAAAGCUCUUUUACCCGGGAUGAUAAUGACAGUACCGGGAGAACAAGCUCCGGCUAACUCCGUG